UCUAUAAGACUCUUAUCUCCAAUUAACCAGCAAAACCCUGGAAGUAGAGCCGUGACUUACGUGGUAGAAUACUAGCCUUGAGCCCAGAAGCUGAGGGACAG